rnacentral:rRNA from 1 species
CUGCCCAGUGAAACUUUUUAUACGGCCGCGAUAUAACCGUGCGAAGGUAGCGAAAUCAUUUGUCUCCUAAAUAGAGACCUGUAUGAAUGGCCCCAUGAGAAAGAAACUGUCUCUUGAAGAUAGCCAACGAAACUGAUCUGCCUGUGCAAAAGCAGUCAUAACAAAACAAGACAAAAAGACCCUGUGAAACUUAAAAAUAAAUGUCAAUAGUAUUACAGUAUUUUUUGGUUGGGGCAACCAAAGAGAAACAAAACCUCUUUUAAAUAUUAGACUAACAAGUCUAAUUUAAUAAACGACCCAGUAAAACUGAUCAACGGACCAAGCUACUCCAGGGAUAACAGCGCCAAAUUCUUGAAGAGUCCACAUCAACAAGAAUUAUUACGACCUCGAUGUUGGAUCAGGAUACCCAAGCAGUGCAAAAGCCGCCAACGGUUCGUUUGUUCAACGAUUAACAUCCU